rnacentral:rRNA from 1 species
AGUGAACGCUGGCGGUAGGCCUAACACAUGCAAGUCGAACGGCAGCACAGGAGAGCUUGCUCUCUGGGUGGCGAGUGGCGGACGGGUGAGGAAUACAUCGGAAUCUACUCUGUCGUGGGGGAUAACGUAGGGAAACUUACGCUAAUACCGCAUACGACCUACGGGUGAAAGCAGGGGACCUUCGGGCCUUGCGCGAUUGAAUGAGCCGAUGUCGGAUUAGCUAGUUGGCGGGGUAAAGGCCCACCAAGGCGACGAUCCGUAGCUGGUCUGAGAGGAUGAUCAGCCACACUGGAGCUGAGACACGGUCCAGACUCCUACGGGAGGCAGAAGUGGGGAAUAUUGGACAAUGGGCGCAAGCCUGAUCCAGCCAUACCGCGUGGGUGAAGAAGGCCUUCGGGUUGUAAAGCCCUUUUGUUGGGAAAGAAAUCCAGCUGGCUAAUACCCGGUUGGGAUGACGGUACCCAAAGAAUAAGCACCGGCUAACUUCGUGCCAGCAGCCGCCGUAA